AUUGAACGCUGGCGGCAGGCCUAACACAUGCAAGUCGAGCGGAGCGGCGGACGGGUGAGUAAUGCCUAGGAAUCUGCCUGGUAGUGGGGGACAACGUCCGGAAACGGGCGCUAAUACCGCAUACUAUCAGAUGAGCCUAGGUCGGAUUAGCUAGUUGGUGGGGUAAAGGCCUACCAAGGCCACGAUCCGUAACUGGACGGAGAGGAUGAUCAGUCACACUGGAACUGAGACACGGUCCAGACUCCUACGGGAGGCAGCAGUGGGGAAUAUUAGGCAAUGGACGAAAGCCGGAUCCAGCAAUGCCGCGUGAGUGAAGAAGGUCUUCGGAUUGUAAAGCACUUUAAGUUGGGAAGCGUUACCAACAGAAUAAGCACCGGCUAACUACGUGCCAGCAGCCGCGGUAAUAC
rnacentral:rRNA from 1 species